UUCCCGAGCGGCCAAAGGGAGCAGACUGUAAAUCUGCCGUCAUCGACUUCGAAGGUUCGAAUCCUUCCCCCACCACCAUCACUUU
rnacentral:tRNA from 1 species